ACUCAAGAACCCAGCCCCCAUAGUGUGAGGAGGCCUAGGACAGUUACAGAAGCCAUGUGUAGGUGUUCUGGCUCCAGCAAAAGUCUUAUCUGACAACAUCAACUACAUGUUAGUGGGUAUAACCUCAUCCUGGAGCAGGGCACCCUAUCGUCAGAUGGUAUCAUCUUUAAGGGGUUGUCUCAGCCAUGCCUUUAGAAUUACCUUUCAUUGCUUGUCAUGCUGGAAGCUUCUGAAUGUUGCAUUUUGUGAUAGAAACAGUGGGUACCAUGGUCAUGUGCUCACAUCUCCUUUGCGGUAAAGAAAAGGAUCACUCAUUAACAUCCACCAGAUAACAUUCUCCAUGAAAGCACCAAAUAAGGUUUGUCUUGGUCCAUUUUAUGCUGCUAUAACAGAACACCACAGACUGAGAAAUUUAUAAGGAAUAGAAGUUUAUUUGCCUCAUGUUUCUGGAGGCUGGGAAUUCCAAGAUCAAGGGGCUGCAUAGAUUGAGGUCCUUUUUGCUGACUCAUAACGUGGAAAGAGAGUGCACUGCAUAGAAGAAAGGAGGCCAAACUCAUUCUUUUAUCAUGAGCCUACUCCUGAAAUAACUCACUCUCAAGAUAAUGGCAUUAAUCCAUUCAUGAAGGCAGAAUACUCAUGAUGUAAUCACCUCUUAAAAGGUCCUAUUUCCUAACACUGUUGCAUUAGGGAUUAAGCUGUCAACACAUGAAUAUUGGGGGACACAUUCAAACCAUAGCAAGAGUUCUUUGUCUUUGUGACUCGGUGUGGUUCAGCAAAUUGCGAUUGGUCUGCUAUAGCGGACUUUCCCCUCACCUCCCAAAUGUUUAUUAUGAAAAAUUUCAUUUUAAAGAAAGGUGGAAGGAAUUGUUGAAAGAAUAUGUCAUCUAGUUUCUACUGUUGUUAACAUUGUGUCAUAUUUGCCUUUUCAUCCAUCCAACCACCCAUCCAUCUAGCUACCUUAUAAUUACUAUUAUUACUUAUUAUUACUAUUAUUUUUAAAGACACCUCUAUUAAAGCAACCAUCUUAUUUUUUGAUUUUAUUUAUUUUCAAAGUUAGUUGCAGACAUUAGUAUACUUUACUCCUAGACAUUUUAGCGUGAACAUAAUUAACUGGAGUAUAAUACUUGUUUUCAAUUUCUUUUUAUUUUUGAGGUAAAAUUUACAUACAGUGAAAUCCAAAUCUUAAGUGUACCACUAGAUAAAUUUUGAUAAAUGCAUUAUGCCUGGUCUUCACACACCCUUUUCAAUAUAUAGAAAAUUUCCAGAUAAUUUAUUUUGUUGUUUUUUUCACACACUAAGUUCUAGACUUUUCCAGGUCCGAGGGAACUAUUAGGGGGGAAAGUACUUGUUAUAGUAAAAAAGAUUUUAGGUGUGUUUGUUUUUAAGGUGCAGAAACACAUCGCAGAUUAAGGUCUGCAUCUCUGCUUUUUGUUAUUGUUCCAGUUUGAUCUCAGUGACAUUACAAGCAAGCAGAAACACUCAGACAUGAAAUGGCCAGUGCCUGUGAGUUAAGAGCAGGAUCUAGGUCUAUUUUUUUGAUAUGUAUCUCAACUACCUGGAAUACUUUAUACUUUUGGCACUCAAUAAAUAUUUGUUGCUGCCAGACGAUCUGCCACAAAAA
ensembl:lncRNA novel transcript